GUUGGCCGACCAUGGGAUGGGUUGCAUUCGAUGGGGACGACGGCUGUGUGGAAAGUCGAGGAAGAUGAAAAGUGCGUGGAAGGGAAAGCAGAUGGUAACCCGACUGACUCGUGUUUCCGCUCUCCUCCCUCUCAGUUCCUCUUUCUCCUCUACUGAAACCAUAAUCUUCCUCUCCUCGGCGCGCUGCCAUGUCUCUCGCCAUGGAGCCCACAAACUAAGCAAGUAGUGACGGUCACAAGACUCAAACAUGGCGGAUGCGUACUGGAGGUAUAAUGACGGCUAGCAACCGCCGCCGUCGGCGAUGAAUAUAGCCGUCGGAAAGCGUCCUCGCUCCGGUUACGUGCCAGAGAUGGAUCUACGGCCACCACCGCCAACCACGCCGCUGGGAAGAUCUUAGAUUGAAAACUGGAACUUUGUACGAGGUUUCAUGAAUAGAGGAAGUGUGCUUGCUCACUCUCUGAGUGUUUCGUCGAGGGUUCAAGGUUUUUCAACAAGAAAAUUAAGCUGCAAAUUAAAUUGAGCUAUGGCUCAAUGGUUUAAAAAUUAAAACACCAGAAAGAUGGUUAUUCUAGCUUUCUAACCAGGUUUGUAUCUAUUUUUAUUUUUAUUUUUUGCAAUGCUCCUCUGCACUACAAGGUCUCUCUAUCUCUCUCUCUCUCUCUCUCUCUCCCUCCCCUCCAUCUCAAAAGAUUCAAUUUUUGUUUCUGGGUCUUUGUUUUCUCAUUCUUUAACUGGUGGGUUUUUGUUUUUUUUU